rnacentral:rRNA from 1 species
UACGUAGGGUGCGAGCGUUAAUCGGAAUUACUGGGCGUAAAGCGUGCGCAGGCGGCUUUGCAAGACAGAUGUGAAAUCCCCGGGUUCAACCUGGGAACUGCAUUUGUGACUGCAAGGCUAGAGUACGGCAGAGGGGGAUGGAAUUCCGCGUGUAGCAGUGAAAUGCGUAGAUAUGCGGAGGAACACCAAUGGCGAAGGCAAUCCCCUGGGCCUGUACUGACGCUCAUGCACGAAAGCGUGGGGAGCAAACAGG